rnacentral:lncRNA from 1 species
AAAAAAAAAAAAAGAAAUGACAGGUGAUGCCAUUUAUUUUUUAGAAAGUGGAAAGUAUAUACAUGAAAUUUCUCUAAGCUUUUGUCACAGAUUUCCAAAUACCUAACAGCAUUUUACUAUCCUGGCAUAUGUCUAUGAAAUCAUCUACAGAUGUGAUACAUAUGUAUACAUACACACACACACACACACAGAGAAUAGUAGAGUGCCUGAUGAUGGGCCUGCCCAUAGUUACUGCUUUAGUCACAUGGAGGUAAGGAGAAAGACCGUGUCAUCCACUGGCGUGAUAUUGUGGCACAGUGAUUCCAAUCACUGAUACAGUCCAGUCCACUUGUUAUUUGGAAUAGAUAAAAGACUAUAAAGAUUGGGAUGGGAAGGAGUUUAUUCAGCUACAAGGAUAAGCACUGGAUAGAAGGUGGGAGGAAAAUCGAAAUGUUCUGGGAUUAAAAUUUUAAGCAUGCUAUUAGAAUCUUUAAAAUGUUAUUGCAGUGAAACAGAAUAACUUAGGUAAGUAUUGGAAUUAUUUAAUACGGACUGGCUCUGCCCCUGGGGAGAUGUACUGGGGAUGGAAUCUAGGGGUGCUGUACCACUGAGCUACAUCCCUAGCCUUUUUUUAGUUUGAGACAGGGUCUAAAUUGACCGGGCUGGCCAUGAACUUGUGGUCCUUCUGCCUCAGGCACCUGAGUAGCUAGGUUUAUAGGCGGCUUGUGUCAUGCUCGGGAGGAAUUUUAUUAAAAGGAUCUCAGUAUUUUGUCUGGGCUGGCCUUGAACUUGACCUCCUCUGCUUAAGGGAUCCUCCAGCCUCAGCCUCAUAGGUAGCUAGGAUUAUAGCAGCAGACCACUGCACCCACACUGCUAAGGACUUUCAGUCAGUUUUGGAGGCAGGUUGAUGAGUUAUUUAUAUGAAGAGUAUUGUUUAACUUCCCAGAAAGAUGAUCAUAAAGUAAGGAUGUAUGUUUGCUCAUUUAGUUCCAAAGGUAAUUUAAAAGAAUCAUUGUAAAUUUGUUUUGAACCAUCAUGACAAAUGUAGAAAGCCCCAGCAAUUAUUUUAAUAACACUAGUCUUUUUAAGUAAAUUCUGUAAUUUCUUUAGAUUUUAACAUGCUGUAUUUAACAAGGAAAUAGUUGCUUUACUGAAAUUUUCAUUUUAUAGACCAUGGAUAUAUUUCAGUUCUUUCCUUUUUUGUUCAUGUAUUCAAGUAAAUUGCAGAAAGUUCAGGAUGCUUACGCAGUGCCAUGCUUUUCAUUUUGGUUUCAGGUUGGUAGUUUCUCGUGGACACUGUGGUGCAGGGACCAAGAUAUUUAUUCUCACCAGCUUCAGACCUAAGGGAUAUACAGUAUAUAUGAACUACCAAAGCUGAACCAAGAAGACAUAAAAUCCUUGAAUAACUAAUAUCAGGCAAUGAAAAUGAAGAGGUAAUAACAAAACAACAAAAAACUACCAGCUAAGAAAAUCCUAGGUUCUGAUGGAUUCAAUGCUGAAUUCUACAAGAACUUCAGGUAAGAUCUAACACCAAUACUUAAUGAAAGGGAAAGAGUACUUCUAGAGUCAUUCCUAAAAGCUAGCAUCAUCAUGAUUGCAAAACCAGAAAAGGACCCAACGAAAACAGGGAACCAUACAAACAUUGAUAAAAAAGCCUCAACAAGAUACUGUCAAACAGAUGCAGCAAACCAUCAAAAAGAUCAUACAUGGGCUGAGGAUUUAGCUCAGUGGCACCGGACCUGCCUCGAAAGCACAAGGUCUUGAGUUUGAUCCCCAGUACCCAAAAGAAAAAAAGAUCAUACAUCAUGACCUAGACGACUUAGUAGGAUUCAUCCCAGAGAUGCAGGGACAGUUCAACACACACAAAUCAAUGUGUAACACAUAAACAUAAGCAAGGGCAAAAAUCACAUUAUCAUUUUAAUUGACACUGAAAAUGCCUUUGACAAAGUCCAUCCAUUUAUGAUAAAAACUCUGAAAACAAUAGGUACACAAGGAUCUUAUCUAAAUGUGAUAGAAACCAUUUAUGACAAACCAAUGGCCAACAUAUUAAAUGGGGAGAAAUUGAAAGCUUUCCUUCUAAAAUCAGGAACAUGACAAAGAUGUCUGCUCUCACCAAUAGUGUUCUAGAAACAUUAGCCAGAACAAUCAGGCAAAAGAAAGAAAAGGGAUGUGUGUAGGACAGGAAGAUGUCACAUUAUCAUUAUUUACAGAUGACAUGAUCCUCUACACAGAAGACCCACAAAUUUCACCAAAAGACACUUAGGAUAACCAAAUUCAGUAGCUUAGGAACAAAGUUAACACAAGUCAUUAGCGUCCUUGCACACAAAUAAUAAACUCAGCAAGAAGAAAGCAGGGAAACAAUUCUGUUCACAGUAGCAUCAAGAAAAAUUAAAUACCUUGGGAUUAACCAAGGAAGUAAAAGAUGGCUACAAUGAAAGCUACAUUACUCUAUAAAAAGAGAUCAAAGAGGGUAUCAGAAAAGGGUUUCUUUUAUUCCAGGAUAGGCAGCCUAAUAUAACCAAAAUACUAAUAGCAUUCUUCACAAACUAGAGAAACAGUAUUUUCUGUUUGUAUGGAAUCAGAUGAGACCUAGAAUAGCAAAAGCAAUCCUGGGGAACAAGAGCAAGGCAGGAAGAAUCAUAAUUCUGAUCUUUAAGUUGUACUAUAAAGCUGCAGGGAUAAAAACAGCAUGGUAUUAGAAAAAAAGACAUAGGGAUCAAUGGGACAGAAGAAGAUGCAGAAACAACUCCAAGCACAUCCAGCUACCUGAUCUUUGAUGAAGGAGCCAAAAACUUACGCUGGAGGAAAGAUAGCCAGUUUUCCCAGCACCAUUUGUUAGAGGCUAUCUAUAUACAGAAGAUUAAAUCUAGUCCAUCUAAAAAAACCAAAACAAACAAAAAAUCUAGGCCAUCUCUCUCACCAUGUACUAAAUUAAAAAUGGAUGAAAGAUUUAAACAUAUAUAUAUAUAUAUUUUUGGUGUCUCAGAGUCUUGCUCUGUAAUUCAGGCUGGCCUCAGACUCGCUAUGUGGCCCAUGUUGCCCUCAAACUUGCCUCAGCCUCCCAGCCUCCCCAGUGCUGGGAUGACAGCUGUGCACUACCAUGCUCAGCUUCAAAGAUUUAAAUAUUAAGACAGAAACAAUCUGCUGAAAAGAUAAAAUAGGUAAAGCUCUUGGAAGACAUAGACUUAGGCAAGGAUUUUCUGAACAGAACCCCAAUUAUACAAAACAUAAUACCAAAAGUCAAUAAAUGGGAUCAUAUCAAAUUAAAAAGCUUCUGUACAGCAAAGAAAACAGUGAAGAGACAACCUACAGAAUUUGAAAAAAAAAUUUCCAGCUAUUUCUCAGAGAACCCAUAUCUAGAAUAUAUAAAGAACAUAAAAAAAUUAGACCUCCCUAAAUAAAAGACCCAGUCAAAAAAUAGGCAACUGAAAUGAAUAAACACUUCUCAGAAGAAAUACGAAUGGCCAGUAAAUACAUGAAAAAAAUCUCUGGCCAUUGUUCAAGAAAGAAUGGCUGUCAUCAAGAAAUCAAAUAAUAACAUGCUGGUGAGGCUGCAGAGGAAAAGGAAGCCUUCAUUGUCGGUAGGAAUGUAAACUAGUACAAUCCUUGUGGAAAUCAGUAUGAUUUCUCAAAAAACUAAAACAAGAAAUUCCAUUCCCUUCCACUCCAUUCCUAGGUAUCUUCCCAAAAGAGUUAAAGAGAUCAUGUUACACUGAUACACACAGUCAUGUUUAUAGCAGCACAGAUUCACAAUAGCUAAAUCUUGGAAGCAGCCUGUAUGUCCAUCAACAGAUGAAUGAAGAAAAAGUGGCAUUUAUACACAGUGGAGCACAACUCUGCCAUAAAGGAGUUGUGUUUGUAGGGAAAUGGAUCUUGAGAACAUAAUGUUAAGUAGAAUGAGCCAGACACAUAAGUUUAAAUAUUACAUAGUUUCCCUUAUAUAUAAAAAAAAGAGCAAAAUAAAAGCUAAUAGUAGUGAUAUCUUCUGCAAAUGGGAAGGGGACCAGGAGAUGGAGGGAAGCAUGAGGGAGGUGAUGUGAAGGGGAACAAACAACAAAAAAUUAGGACGUGUUAUGUACAUGUAUCACUCCCCAUGAGGAAUGUGAUCUUUACAUUCUACAAACAUGUACUAAUAAAAUGUAUCAGGCUGUGUAGUUUCUGUGGUAUAACAUCCUGUGCCUAAUUGUUAUAUCAAAAACUGAAUAAAUGGCUUGUCUUGGGCUGAAAUUUCAUCCUCUUAAUAAAGCAUGAAAAUGAUUGGAAGUGUGGCUCUAAAAAUAUAAACUGGAGAGAACAUAAUCCUUACUCCUUUACUAUUCACACUUGUACUCUGUAGGUUAGGGUUAUGCUGUAAGGAAUUAACAGCAAAUACAGAGGCACAGGAGGAGGGCUGUCCUAACAGAUAAAUCAGCUUAGGCCAGGCCAUCCAGCUGGAAAUAACCCAGAGCCAGUUAGCUUUUGAAUAGUGACACCUAUGUUAUGAGAGGAAUGGCAGGAAGUCAAGACAGCAGCUACAUGCAUGGGCAAACACCCAAUCUGAAGUUAACUUGGUACCUGAUUAGAGAAGACACUGCCAUCUAGACACUGGGCACCCUGAUCUGUCAUUUAUGCCCACACGUUCUGAAGCAUGUCUGUGUACACAAAGGCAACACUCAAAGUUCAGUGGAUAUGAGUAAAUCCCACAGGGACAAGAAAGUGGGCUUCCUUUUUACUUUUAUUCAAAAUAAGCAAAAAGUGGUUAAUAGGAUUAAAGUAAAGCUCGGGAAUGACAUUUGGCAAUGGAUUUUAGACUUAGCUCUGUGGAGCACAGACAACUAUUGUGAAAUUGAUUUAUACCCAGUGGGUUUCAAAGUUGCCAAUAUUGAACUGGUCCCAUUUUAUCAGAAUGUCGUUUGCCCGGCUGGACAAGUAGUACAUUUUAAAGAUUAAUGGAGCUUCCUGUCAGGACCCGGGGUCAGUAACAGGUAUGAAUGUCUGUCUUAGGGCAUAAUUAUUGCUUCCCACAGUACAUUGGGAAGAAAGGUAGAGAUGGAAACUCUUGCAAGCACCUUAUAGGUGAUGUCUUUGAGGUGCAAGGAACAGAGCUAACACAGGAAGAACCAUAUACAGUGGAUGGCAGCCAGUCACCUUGGUCUAGGCUUCUUCGUAUUCACAAUGCUAUGAAAGAUAAUGUCAUAGGAAAUGAACUAAGUACAGGAACAGGCAUUCCACAGAGUCAGAAAUGAGUGGCCAGGGGCUGAGCUGUAGCUUAGUGUUAUAGUGUUUGCCUGGCUUGCAUAAGACAUUGGGUUUAUUAGCACGCAAAAUGCCAAUACAUCUGUAACAAAAUGGUCACCUUCAUUUGUCAUCAGAAAAAUGCAAAUUGAAGCAGUGUAAGAUUCCUUUUCACAUUGUGGCCACAGGUAGCAACAAUGUAAGUUCAUCCACAGUUGGAGGUAGCUUGCUAACAUCAAAAAUUUUAAAUUUGGCUUACACUUUGAGGCAGAUGUUGCUUUAGGGAUUUAUCCUAUAAAAUCUAAGAAAGCAAAGAUGCGUGCACCAGAUUCCUUCUGUACAACAUUAUUCUGGGAACCUUAGAUUCUUGUGCAGACCUUAGUUGCAGUCCAAGGCCCCCAAGUCAUAGCUGCAGAUUCUUUACAGUUCAAAUAUGGAGAAGUAGGAAGACAGCUAAAGGCAUUUUCUGUAAUCUAUUCAGUUGAGCAUAUUUGAUUUUCCACAUUCACUAGCAUGAGUACAUGCUCCUGGUCUUCGUUUCUCGUACUAUUGGACAGAGGGUAAUUUACAGGCAUAUUUAGCGGUGAAGGUAUGUAAACCUAAAAUUGUUUCUUCCCCGCACAUAUGAAGUAGGUAAAGGAGAUGUUAGGAUUGGGCCCAUAUCAGAAAAAGGUGAUUUAAAGCACGUAUGCAGAGCAUGGUCUUUGAAAGUUAAAGUAAGUCUGUCUGUUUGGGAAGUAUUUCAAGGCCCGCCCUGCAGUCUGUUAGAAGGGCAAAGGCUCCUAUUAUCUAAGCCUUGGCGUCUCAUUUAAGUCUUACUUGCAGCUGAGUGUGGUCUAUUGGGAAACCACAAUGCUGAAAGAGUCCUGUUCCUAAGACAAGACAGACCAGACAGUACAAUUACCCAAUCGCAACCACAGUAACAGCAGAUGAACCUCCGAUUCUAUUUUGGUAAAGAUCUGUGUAGCUUCAGAGCUUCUUGGAAUGGAUUUGAGGAUUCUAAGGACCUCCUAAAUGAUUUUUUAUUUUUUUAAAAUUUCUUUUCGGUACUGGGGAUUGAACUCAGGACCUUGCACUUGCCAGGCAAGCGCGGCACCACUAAGCUACAUCCCCAGCCCCCUAGAUGUUUUUUUAAAAAGUCCCCUGGAUGGUGACAAUACACAUUCCCAGCAACCUUAACAAGGAGUGAAUAAAGGUCUAUGCAAGUGAUGCAGGCUCUAAAAGUGCCUAAGUUCUUGCUAAUAUAAGACUGAGAAGGACACAGAGGAGACACCACUUACUGCACAGAGCUGCUGCCAGUAUUCAGUGGCAGAGUCUGCCUGACACUGGGCUGCAAAGUCGCCUUACCUCAUCAAGACUGAAAGCAGGAACCCCAGGGACCCAGUAGACAAAGUCUGCUUACUUGACAAACUCAAAUACCAUGAUAAAAACUGAAAAGCAAAAGUUAAUGUGCAAAUAACAAUCUAAUAAAAGAUGCACAUUUGAGUAUAUAAAUCCAAAAUAAAAAGCUGCUUCUACCUUGUAUAGAUCACCUGUUCCUUUUUACUGUUCAGCUUCUCUCUGCUCCUGCAUUAACAGAGCCCUCCCUCAUGGUGAACUCAUCCCCUACGAUUUAGGCAAAAACAACUUUCCCUCAUCUCCAGAGAUGGGUUCUCUGGAACUGCAUCUGGACUACUGGUCAUACAGCCCAUGCACUGGGAAUGACGUGUGAGGGAAAGAUACUCAGUACCAUGGAAUUAAAAGAAACGUAAAUCAAAUUUCAUGAGUUUUCCCUUUCUCACUUUCCAACCAUAAUACCAGGAAUGGUGAAGUAGUAGGGAAAUAGAUUCUCUGCAAAGCAUGAAAACUUUUCUCUGGCAAUAUGACAGUAAAAGCCUGCAAAAUAUCUUCUCAUCUCUCAUCUCCCAAGGAAGUAAGUGAUUCAGGCAAGGAUCCUCAAGUGCAAGCUAAAAAAAUAAGUGACAAGUCAGGGAUUUAGCUCAGUGGUUCCGCCACCUGCUUCGAAAGACAAGGACCCAAGUUCGAUCCCUAGUACCAAAAAAAAAAAAGCGACAAGUUGCAGGAGCAGAAAAGCCUGCAUUUAUAAAAGGGACCUGGUUAUCACAGCUUUACCAGACUCAAAGAUAGCACUGCUGAUAGUAAAAGACCAUGUUCCCUAUCUGCAUGGAUCCACUAGGCAGCACACUGUCCCCAUGAAGGGUCCUUAUCAAAUAUAGCCAAGCCUCUAACUUCCAGUUUAUAGGAGGUGACUGACACUUGGAGAAAACAAGUGCAGGAUUGGGCCUUCUAUUAAAAGGAGGGCAAGGGAAGGUCUGGAUCUUGCUUAAUAGACAUAAUGACACAACGUGAUGCAUGAAACUUGGUUGAAUCCAUGUUCAAAAAAGAAGCUAUGAGACGGGAAAAUACAGUAAUUUGAAUGUUACUAAGUAUUUGCCAUUGAGGAAUAUUCUCAGAUGCUAAAAUGGUAUCGUGGUUACCACUUUACCUAGACAGAUGAUGCAUGCUGAGAUUUUUAAGGGGAGAAAUAUAUACACACCUUACCUGGCACCUUGCAACUUGAGGUUUUUUCCCUGAAGUAAAAAUGAUCACGAAAGGACAAAGGCAGCCACAACAGUGCAACUAAAGACACACCCAAAAGACUUCCAGAACUGUCUCAAGGAGGCCAGAACAAUGGGAUGACAGAAGCUAGGUUAUUUUGAAGGGGAUUCAUGGCAGUGUGUUUAUAGUGUAAUAAAAUUAUUUCAAACACCAGACUUUUUAGUCAAAACUUGUAUGUGAUCACUGUACUAUUUGUUCAGAUUUUCUGUAUGUUUGAAAUUUUCCAAAAUAAAGUAUGAGGACCUGGGUGUGGUGGUGCAUGCUUGUAAUCCCAGCAUUUAGGAGGCUGAGGCAGGAGGAUCA